UUUUAUUUUUCUUUUUAGCCCAAUUUUUUUUUUCUCGCUUCGGGGUUUUCGCAUGAAGAAUGCUUCGAUUCGACGACUGCUGAGAAGAUUCACGUUGAGUAAUCUUAUGAUUAGCACGAAACCAUUACAAUCGACUGGGACUCUUCUUUCUCGUGGUGAUUUGAAGAAGAAGAAGAAGUCUUCGACGAUUCGUGGGGAGAUUGGUUUCAAAUUAAUCUUAAGGGUUCUUGUUUUUGGUUUGAUUUAGGCAUGAAACUAUUAUAAUCGGCUGGGCUUCGUCUCCUUCGUGAUGAUUGGUUUCAAAUUAAGGGUUUUGUUUUUGGUUUGAUUCGAGAACGAAACUACAACAAUCGGCUGGGCUUGGUCUCCUUCGUGAUUGAUUUGGUUGUACUGAUCUGAUCUAGGGUUGUUUGGUUUGAUUCGGGCAAGAAGCUAUUUCAAUCCGUUUUGUUUCUUCUUCCUCGGGUUUCGAAUCUAAUCCAUGGAAGCUUGUCUCCGCUUCGUCGAGAUUCUAUUUUGGGGACAUUGUCCCGAGCAAAAUCAUGAACUGUUGGCUUGGUAGUGCAUGCAUGUUGGGAAUGGGAAAAGAGGUUGCGUUGGAUUUAUUCAACGGCUAAGUAAGUCUUAAGACAAAAGACAUAGAACCAAAGAGUUCUCAAAGUUUGGUACCCUCGGCUGGUAAAAACCAUAAGACAUGAAAAAAGAACCAAAGAGUUCU